AUAAUUAAAACUAAAUAACCUAAAACUUAAAGCUAUAUGUAGAGGUAUUAAAAAGACAAAAACACAAAACAAAAUCACUAAAACUAUAACCAAAAUUAAAAAUUUUUUGUUAAACGUAAUCCUAGUUUAGUUAACAUUCAUCUGGACAAGCAUGCUGCAGACUUCCAUUCUCUCCUUCAUUUGUUUUCAAACGCCUUACCACUACAAGCACUCACAAAUCAGGCAACCAACUUGACUUAAUUUACACACGCAAUUAUACUGCAAACAACAUUUUGGUAAAACCCCUACACAUCUCCUAAAAUUUAACCUACAUCUUCCUACCUGUGUGCCACCAACCCCUCUACCUGUUACUUUUAGACAACCUGCGCUCACUUUCACCCUUCUAUCUUUCCUCUGUAGUGUCUUCUCUCUUCCCUCACCUACCCAUUUCUCAUCUCUGGACGUUAAUGCAGCAACUGACACUUUAUGCUCUACUUUAACUUCUUAUCUAGACAAAAUAUGUCCUCUCUCCUCCAGGCCAGCACGGGCUACCCCUUCUAACCCAUGGUUAUCCGAUGUUCUUUGGUCCAAACUCAGAGCAUCAUAGAGAAAAUGGCGCAAAUCAAAAGAUCUGUCUGACCUGAGUAUGUAUCAGUCUUUGCUUUCAUCUUUCUCUGCUCAAGUCCAUUCUGCCAAAUCUUCAUAUUUUCACAACAAGACCAAUAGCACUACAGAAUUAAAUUCUCUACUCUAUCCCCCUCCAUCACCUCCCAUCACUUCUAUAACAACUGAUGAUUUCGCUACAUUCUUCACAGUCAAAACUAGUACAAUCAGUAGUCAGUUCUCAGCUCCACACACACACAAACCCAAACCAACCGCAUUCAUGCCUAACACCUCCCUCUUCUCCUACUGUAUCCAAACUUCUCCUCUCCAGCCAUCCUACAACAUGCCCACUAGACCCAAUCCCCUCAGAAGAGAGGAAAACACUACAGAGGAAAGAUAAGAGGGUAAAAGGGAGUGCAGGUUUCAUCUUAAAGUAACAGAUAGAGGGAUUGGUGGCACACAGGUAGGAAGAUGUAGGUUAAAUGUGAUGAAGAAAUAGUCAGAGAUGUGUAGGGGUUUUCCCAAAAUGUUAUCUGCAGUACAAUUGUGUGUGUAAAUUAAGUCAAGUUGGUUGCCUGAUUUUGUGAGUGCUUGUAGUGGUAAGGCAUUUGAAAUCAAAUGAAGCUAGGAGUGAACGGAAGUCUGCAGCAGAAGGCUUGUCCAGAUGAAUGUUAAAGUCGACAAAGACUAAAAGUGGACUGCUAUCCUAUGGAAAUGAGGACAUCAGACCAUCCAUUUCUUCUAGGAAGGUGCCCAGUUGCCCAGGAGGCCGGUAAAUUACCACAACAUGGAGUUUUAUAGGAGCUGUUACAGUAAUCGCAUGAGAUCCAAAUAAGUUAUAAUUGCAUAGGGGAGAGUGGGUUGAGUAUUUCCAAUUGUCAGAAAUGAGCAGACCAGUGCCCCCACCCCUCCCAACCUGACAAUGGGUGUGAGAGAAAGAGAAGUUCUUAGAUGGAGCAGCUGGGGUUGCUGAAUCUUCUGGAUGAAUCCAAAUCUCAGUCAAGCCCAAGAUGCUGAGUGUAGAUUGCAAAGAAAAAACAGAAAUGAAGUCAGCUUUGUUGACAGCUGACCGACAAUUCCAGAGACCCACAGCAAAAAAAAAGAGAGAGGAAGUAGAAGAUGUACAGAUAGGAUGCAGGUUAGCAAGUCUGCGAGUGAUGUUAGAGUGUUGUUGCAAGACAACCAGAAUGUAUUGAAAACACAUGGUAGAGGUGGAAGGGAGAGGACACAAAGGAGUGUUUGCAAAGGGAGAAAAGUGGGUACCUAAAUAUGUUGCCAGGUUUCGUUGCUCGGUUAAAGUUGUGCAGGUAAAUUCGAAGGUCUUUAAACUCGUAGGUCUUCACAGGCUGAACACAAGGGCUGAAUGCUUCCGCUGAUCCUUCCGCCUCAGCUGACAGACAACAAACAAAUACACAGCCACCCGACACUUCAGAGAAAACAGCUGUGGCCGCCUUCUUAAAUUAGCACACCCAAAAGUCUAUAGCAGGGCAAUUGCUAAAAAUGAAACUAAAGUUUGCACUUAAGUGCAGGAAUGGAGCAAUUUAAAUAACAAUAAUAAUAAGUAACCUAAAUAAUAAUAUAAAGUAAUUAUUAAAUAAUAAUAAAUAACAUUUUCUUCAUUUUCCCCAAUAUUUCUGUCUCUCCCAUUUUUUCCCCCUUGUACCUUCUUUACAAGCAGGUCUAAUGUUAUAAACAGAACCGUGUCCACUAAAACAACCACCUCAUUGCAAUUUGUUAGCACAGAAUGUUGUUAUUUAGCCAUAAUAUGACUUAAAUACCAUAUUUUAAAA
ensembl:lncRNA